rnacentral:misc_RNA from 1 species
GUGAGGGCCCUCUGGGUCCAACCUCCCACCCGUGUUUAUCAUACCUAGUUGCUUCGGCGGGCCCGCCGUCAUGGCCGCCGGGGGGCACCCGCCCCCGGGCCCGCGCCCGCCGAAGCCCCCCUGAACGCUGUCUGAAGAUUGCAGUCUGAGCGAUUAGCUAAAUCAGUUAAAACUUUCAACAACGGAUCUCUUGGUUCCGGCAUCGAUGAAGAACGCAGCGAAAUGCGAUAAGUAAUGUGAAUUGCAGAAUUCAGUGAAUCAUCGAGUCUUUGAACGCACAUUGCGCCCCCUGGUAUUCCGGGGGGCAUGCCUGUCCGAGCGUCAUUGCUGCCCUCAAGCACGGCUUGUGUGUUGGGCCCCCGCCCCCCGGCUCCCGGGGGGCGGGCCCGAAAGGCAGCGGCGGCACCGCGUCCGGUCCUCGAGCGUAUGGGGCUUCGUCACCCGCUCUGUAGGCCCGGCCGGCGCCCGCCGGCGACCCCCCUCAAUCUUCUCAGGUGACCUCGGAUC